AAAAGACAGAACUUUGGAUGUCCAAAUCAAGGAAAUAGCUUGCAAAUAAAGAAUUUAGCAGUAGGAACAUCAAGAAUGAUAUACAAGUAGCACUUGUUAUGAAUAAGCUGAUAAAAGUGAAGUCCUUUUUCACAACCUUUUGUGGUUCUGUAGCAGGAAAGCCCAUGAGAAUAAAACUUACGUAUCCCCUUCAGUCAGAAUUGAAAAAAUCAUCUUUUAAUUCAGUAGUCUCUUAGUGUUUGAACAAUUGAGUACAUAGGAAUACAUAAUUACAUUUAUUAAAUUCAAAUAAUAGAGACAUUAGACAGCAGCCACAACCCUCAUACUGGAGUUACUCCAGAGGUUUUUUUCCCAGUAACAUUAAAACAGCUAAACAAACCCGUACAGAUGAGCUUAGGCCCCGUUAUGAAGGGAAAUUACAGUCUCACUUCUUAAAGUCUGAAUGACUAAAACAGUGUAAAUUCCUGUUUCUUGUACCCUAAUAUUAGAAAAAAUAGAAGUCUGCAGAUAAUAGUUAACAUCCAGGAGCCAGUUUCUCCUUUCACUUAAUUACCACCACUGCUCUGCACAGUGCAUUCAUUCUCACAAAGCACAAAAGUGUAAACUAUUGUGCUUGGACUUUUUUUUUCUUGUAGUUAAGAAAAGCAGUGCAUAUUUCAACGCUGCAGUUUAUCUUUCUUGCUACAAAAAGGCAAUUCAGCGAAACAGUAGAGGAAAAAUUGCACAUUUGGUUCACUGCAGUUCAAGUAACAGCUGCUGAAACUGAUUUUCAAUGGCUCUGUGUCAACUUAAAGACCCAAAUCCCACACCAACUACCUGUGUGGAGGGCACCUACCUUCCUCUGUGUUUCUGUCACCUGUCAUUUGGAAUCCUGGAGGAGAUGUAACAGGUUCCAGAAACAGAUAGUCUGUAUUAACCGGUGCUUACAAGCCAACAAACCCAACAUCAGAAGGUUUGCUCAGGCAGUGGUGUCUCCAUACAAAGUGCAUGCAGCUCAACUAAUCUUGUAGUUACAAAACAAUUAUGAAUCCCGAUUCACAGAAUCAAGAUAAUAUUUCUUUUACUUCCUGGAAAGGAUGCACGUAACCUGUGACCUUCACAGCUGCACUCAGUGCAAGAGUACAUCAUAGAAACUGUACACACUUCAAAUGUGCCAUUGUAUCGCUCUAACCCCUCACAUUCCUUCCUCUGCUGCUAGAAAAGCAGGACACAAAAGCCAGCUGCAGCAGGGGUUACUAGGUAUUGGGGUAUGACCAAGUUAAGUGUUCUUGUCAAUGUGUAAGUGCAGGUGUACAGUUGUUAGCACACAGCCAACAAGGUCAGUGGUUAGGUACUCCUUGAUCAAAAUCAGUAAUAAACUAAGUAUUACUUCUGCUUGGUUUUACUGUUCGGGUUUUUUUU